AUUGAACGCUGGCGGCAGGCCUAACACAUGCAAGUCGAACGAGUGGCGGACGGGUGAGUAAUGUCUGGGAAACUGCCUGAUGGAGGGGGAUAACUACUGGAAACGGUAGCUAAUACCGCAUACAAUCGGUUGUGCCCAGAUGGGAUUAGCUAGUAGGUGGGGUAAAGGCUCAUCUAGGCGAAGAUCCCUAGCUGGUCUGAGAGGAUGACCGGCCCAACUGGAACGGUGACACGGUCCAGGCUCCGACGGGAGGCAGCAGUGGGGAAUAGUGCACAAUGGGCGCAAGCCUGAUGCAGCCAUGCCGCGUGUAUGAAGAAGGCCUUCGGGUUGUAAAGUACUUUCAGCGGGGGGGCGUUACCCGCAGAAGAAGCACCGGCUAACUCCGUGCCAGCAGCCGCGGUAAUUC
rnacentral:rRNA from 1 species